GACAGUGUGGUGCAGUGGUUAGAGUGUCCAGCUCGGACUCAGGAGACCAGGGUUCAAAUCCCCACUCAGUCA